UAUAAUUGUUGGGGUAUGAGGUAAAAUUUCCUAAAGUCAUUCACAUGAUACAUCUCACCGGCCUCUUAUAUUCCUGCCACGCCGGAGAUCGUCUCCCGCGGCGACGAAAGUGAUACCGCCACCAUAAUCACCUCAUACAUAUAUCAGUUUACUUGUCUCAAACUCUCCUUUCCCGAUACCUAAUUAAUUUUACCUAAAUCUAUACCUACCGAAUGAAUUGAUGCAAGGAAAAAACGAACCCUAAUUCUAAAAUCCAGCAAAUAAAUGGCGAAUUUCCACAGAAUCAAACAAUAAACCUAGGUUUAUUGCUCCUCAUAAGGAGCUCUACACGGAAGUAAUAUACUCACGGCGAAGAGUGGAAGAAUAAAUACCUCCGAUGAUGUUGCUCCGGUGAGAAGGUGAACCUAAGAAGAUAAAUCAGAAAGGCUUCGAAUCAGGUUUAGUCAGUUGGAUGUUGUUGGAAAGAAUGUGAAGUGAAGUUGCAGGUUUGUUAGAAGUUUGUUAAAGGUUGGUUAAGAGGGAGGUUGGGGAGUUUUUGUGUGUGGAAGUUGGAAAAAUUUGUUGUGAAGUUUGUUCAGAAGUUUGAGAAAUCUUUCUUGAAAGAAGUUGUGGUUCUGAUUCAGUUGGAAGGAGUUGGUUUUGUUGUAGGGUAGUGAAAUUUUGUUAUAGGGAAACAACUAUCAAUUGAUUUGGAGGUUAUUUUAGGUUUUAUGUGAAGUUUUUGUUGGAAGGUUGCUUAGUGGUUGAAGCCUUUUUUUUGUCUAGUUCAGUUAAGUCGUUAUAAACCAAUUAGGGUAAUUAGGAUUUGGUUAGUUAGAACUUGGUUAAGUAAGUUGUUUUUCUGCUAAUAUGGAUCCUGCUUGUUAUAAAAUAUUGAUGAACUGUUGGUAAGUGCAGUUGACACCAGUUUAUGUCA